rnacentral:rRNA from 1 species
AUUGAACGCUGGCGGCAGGCCUAACACAUGCAAGUCGAACGAGUGGCGGACGGGUGAGUAAUGUCUGGGAAACUGCCUGAUGGAGGGGGAUAACUACUGUAAACGGUCGCUAAUACCGCAUACCAUCAUAUGUUCCCAGAUGGGAUUAGCUUGUUGGUGGGGUAACGGCUCACCAAGGCGACGAUCCGUACCUGGUCUGAGAGGAUUAUCAGCCACACGGGGACGGAGAGACGGUCCAGACUCCGACGGGAGGCAGCAGUGGGGAAUAUUGCACAAUGGGCGCAAGCCGGAUGCAGCCAUGCCGCGUGUAUGAAGAAGGCCUUCGGGUGGUAAAGUACUUUAAGCGGGGAGGCGUUACCCGCAGAAGAAGCAACGGCUAACUCCGUGCCAGCAGCCGCGGUAAUAC